UUGAUAAUGGAAAGUUACAUGGAUAACCGUGGUAAUUCUAGAGCUAAUACAUGCUAUCUGCCCAACUUCACGGAAGGGCUGUAUUUAUUAGAUACUAAACCAAUGCAGCAAUGCAUUGUGGUGAAUCACAGUAACUGAUCGAAUCGGCGCGCAAGCGGCGAUAAAUCAUUCAAGUUUCUGCCCUAUCAGCUUUCGAUGGUAGUGUAUUGGACUACCAUGGCAGUCACGGGUAACGGAGAAUUAGGGUUCGGUUCCGGAGAGGGAGCCUGAGAAACGGCUACCACAUCUAAGGAUGGCAGCAGGCGCGUAAAUUACCCAAUCCUGAUUCAGGGAGGUAGUGACAAGAAAUAACAACCUGGGAGCCUCUGGCUCUACGGGAUUGCAAUGAGAACAAUUUAGAUCACUUAGCGAGGAACAAUUGGAGGGCAAGUCUGGUGCCAGCAGCCGCGGUAAUUCCAGCUCCAAUAGCGUAUAUUAAAGUUGUUGCAGUUAAAAAGCUCGUAGUUGAAUGUCUGGCUGUCGGGUGUUUUGGCUUCGGUCGAGCAGUCGGCGGUCAUCCGCAUACGAAACUAGUACGGCC
rnacentral:rRNA from 1 species